UACGAAGGGGGCUAGCGUUGCUCGGAAUCACUGGGCGUAAAGCGCACGUAGGCGGGCUCUUAAGUCGGUGGUGAAAUCCUGGAGCUCAACUCCAGAACUGCCUCCGAUACUGAGAGUCUUCGAGUUCGGGAGAGGUGAGUGGAACUGCGAGUGUAGAGGUGAAAUUCGUAGAUAUUCGCAAGAACACCAGUGGCGAAGGCGGCUCACUGGCCCGAUACUGACGCUGAGGUGCGAAAGCGUGGGGGAGCAAACAGG
rnacentral:rRNA from 1 species